rnacentral:tRNA from 1 species
AGGAACAUAGCUCAAGUGGUAGAGUGUGUGCUUAGCAUGCACGAGGUCCUGGGUUCAAUCCCAGUAUCUG